UAAUACGUAGGGGGCAAGCGUUGUCCGGAUUUAUUGGGCGUAAAGCGCUCGCAGGUGGUUUGAUGCGUCGUGUGUGAAAGCCCCCGGCUCAACUGGGGAGGGUCAUGCGAUACGGUCAGACUGGAGGCCAGUAGGGGGAUGCGGAAUUCCGGGUGUAGUGGUGGAAUGCGUAGAGAUCCGGAGGAACACCAGCGGCGAAGGCGGCAUCCUGGACUGGUCCUGACACUCAGGAGCGAAAGCGUGGGGAGCGAUCCGGAUUAGAUACCCGGGUAGUCCACGCUGUAAACGAUGAGCACUAGGUGUCGGGGGUAUCGACCCCCUCGGUGCCGCAGCUAACGCGGUAAGUGCUCCGCCUGGGGACUACGGCCGCAAGGCUA
rnacentral:rRNA from 1 species